rnacentral:rRNA from 1 species
AUUGAACGCUGGCGGCAGGCUUAACACAUGCAAGUCGAGCGGGGGAGGUUGCUUCGGUAACUGACCUAGCGGCGGACGGGUGAGUAAUGCUUAGGAAUCUGCCUAUUAGUGGGGGACAACAUCUCGAAAGGGAUGCUAAUACCGCAUACGUCCUACGGGAGAAAGCAGGGGACCUGCGGGGCUUGCGCUAAUAGAUGAGCCUACGUCGGAUUAGCUAGUUGGUGGGGUAAAGGCCUACCAAGGCGACGAUCUGUAGCGGGUCUGAGAGGAUGAUCCGCCACACUGGGACUGAGACACGGCCCAGACUCCUACGGGAGGCAGCAGUGGGGAAUAUUGGACAAUGGGGGGAACCCUGAUCCAGCCAUGCCGCGUGUGUGAAGAAGGCCUUUUGGUUGUAAAGCACUUUAAGCGAGGAGGAGGCUACUGGUAUUAAUACUACCGGAUAGUGGACGUUACUCGCAGAAUAAGCACCGGCUAACUCUGUGCCAGCCGCCGCCGUAACAC